UUCAGAAACAGUUAAGGUAACGUUAACUUUGGGAGUUAGAAAGUAGAAGUUUUCUAUUUCUGAAU
rnacentral:tRNA from 1 species